rfam:Cajanus cajan CcLG11_2571, whole genome shotgun sequence.
UACUGACAACAUGUAUCUGUUUUUCGGUAGUGUAUCUCAUUAGAACUCCACAAUUAAGUGUGCUUGACUUGGAGAAAUAUAGGUAUGGGUGACCUUCUGGGAAGUUCCCCAGAUAUUCUGUAA